UGUCAAGAGAGGGCGGGGUCGACCGAUUUUGACAUGGGAGGAGUCCGUUAAGAGACACCUGAAGGAUUGGAGUAUCGACAAAGAGCUAGCUAUGGACAGGGGUGCGUGGAAGCUUGCUAUCCAUGUGCCAGAGCCAUGAGUUGGUUGCGAGAUCUUAUGGGUUUCACCUCUAGCCUACCCCAACUUGUUUGGGACUAAAGGCUUUGUUGUUGUUGUUGUUGUUGUAACCUAAAGAAGCAGCUGAACCGCCAACAACACUUGCAAUGGAAACUCAAUUUCGUCGACAAGAUGAACAAGUUUCUGCUCUACUAGAGCGCACAGAACAAAUACAACGACAAAUUGGAUAGAUGCAUCAAGUUCUCUUUUCUCAAGGAAUCAGAAAUGUGGAAACACCAGGGACAAAUGGUAGAAAGUAGCAAGUCCACUAGUUGAUGGAAGAUGUUCUCGUGAUUGCUUUUGUUGAGAACAUGGAUGACACAUUUCCUUCAUAUGGAAGUUGAUUUGGCUUGGCGAUCGAAGAGUUGGUCUUCCAUAAUAUUCUGUAGCAGCAGCACUCCAGUGAACAAGCACUUGGUCUCUUAUGAACUUUGGCCAUUAUGUUUGUAACAUGCAUUUCUUGUAUAUCUAACUUGUGUAUUUCCAUAAUGGUUGUAGCUGAGUGUAGAAAACCAAUGAAUCUUCUAUAUAUAUUGAAUGAAUGCAUUGAUCAACGAUAUCUUGUGAUGAA